CUUCAUCUUCAUCUUCAAUAAUCGACAUCCAAGAAACAUCACAGAAAGCUCUCAAUCAUCUUCAAUCAUCGACUUUUCUUCUCAUUUUUCAUUUAUUUUCUCUCUCUUUUAUCAUCAGUUUUUCGAUUUUAGGGUUUUUCAUCGUUUUUUAGUCUAGUUUAGGAUUUUGAUUUCAGAGAUCUGUACAAGUCUUUCAUCAUCUGUAGGGUUUUAGUUUUUUCGAUUUGUCAUGUAUGAUGAUUUGAAGAUGAUUUGGUAUCAUUGAAGGAAGAAUAAGAUAACUCAUUGACCCAAUUAGGUUUUUUACACCAUACAAAUCGAGAGAAAAAGGCUUCAAUAAAAAUCAUGGAUCAUCAAAAUGGGAGCUGUAGCAGCUUCAGAGGAAGGUGGUUCUGUAGGGGUUGAGUAGAUUCUGAAGCAGAGGCUAUGAAGAUGAAUCUGACGAAUUAAAAUCAGAAAAGUGAAUGAUUAAGAUGAUGAAGAAGAUGAGAUUAGUGGAGAGGAAGAAGAUGAACAUGAGCAUAAGGAAAAUCAUCUUUAGUCCCCUUUUAAUCCAUGGUUUUGAUUAAGAUGCAUGAGAUUCCUGAGGGGUACCUUAGUAGCUUGACGUUAUCAACAAUUGCCUAUGGUCUUGACAAAAAGGCCACCAAUGUUGGAGAGAGGAAUGCUUUUAUCUUCGAUCUAGGAGGUGGUACCUUUGAUGUCACAUCUGUGAUAUUGGUGCAACAGUAGUUAUCUGCCAAUGAGGUUUUGAUGAAUCGGAACUUGCGUACUGUUAGAUGGGUUGGUGGAGAAGAACUAGAGCUCAUUGCAAUAGCUACAGAUUAUUAUGAACUCAUCUCUUACUGAUAUAUGGCAUGUUGUCUUUGUCUCUGUAGGUGGAAGGAUUAUGCCAAGGUUCCAAGAACUGAAAAAUUGGGAAAGGUUAUGUUAUAUGUGAACAUGGAGGUCAAUGGCGUGCCCUUAAAGGCAUUUGUCGACAGUGGAGCACAAUCAACAAUAAUAUCUAAAAGUUGUGUUGAACGUUGUGGUGGAAGUGACACGUUGAAUUUAUGCUCCUCCAUGAAUCGGGAAACCGCUGCGCUAUGGGAUAGAUUGAGACUCCCCUGAUGAAGCACUUCGGAUGUAUGAUGAUGCUUGCCCCAUCCUUGAAGAACAUGAAAAGGAGCAAAUCGCAUUUGAUCUAUAUCGUGUUGCUGCCAAUGCUUAUAUACAACUUAAAAAAUGAAGUACUGCAUAGCUGUUUCUUUCUUGGAAGAGAGCCCCUGCAAGAGAAGUGUCCAUGGAUUGAAGAUACGUAGCUGCUGUCUCUUUGGAUUCCAUUCGCUUCACUGAUUCUGCUUGAAAUGCAGCAGUAUGUGGCAUGAGAAGCCUGUUAUGUAAGUCAUGCUUCUGUGCGUAUUAGUCUGCGACAUGAGAAAACUUAGAAACAGGUCAGGAACCUAGGAAGUUUUUAAAGUUUUUGUGAACUACAUUUUGGAACUUAGUGAGUUUCUAUAUAUUCCCCUUAGAAAUUUUGA